AUGGAAUUGAGGGUGCCUCAUAUGCUUCAUCUUUUUAAUAUCUUUCGUGAAAAUGAUGGGAAGGAAAAUUGUUCUCAAGUACUAGAAGAAGAAUUACAUAGAAUGCUUGGCAUAAAAAAUGUGAAUGAUGAGCAUGAUUGCAAUGUUGUUAGUAUGAAUUCUUUGAAUACCCAUGAUGCUAAUGAUAUGCAAAGCCACAAGCUUGGGGAUGCUAUGUUUGAUGAAGAUGAUAUGUUUAGUCCCCCAAGUUUUGAUGAGAAAAUUUAUUAUGAUGAAAGCAUGCCUCCUAUUUAUGAUGAUUAUAUUGAUGAAAGUGGAUUUGGAGCGGUCAUGACUUUAUUUAGUGAUGAAUCCACUAUUUCGGAAGAGGUUCCAAUUGAUUGUGAGAACAAAGUUGCUAUCUAUGAUGAUUAUUGUGAUGACAUGUAUGCUAUAAAGGAAAAUGAUAACGAUGAAACUUGUCAUUAUGAUUUUAAUUUUCAAUUGGAUUAUGCCUCACAUGAUAGUUAUUUUGUUGAGUUUUCUCCUACUACUAUUGAUGAGAAUAAAUUUGCUUAUGUGGAGAGUAGUAAAAUUUCUAUGCAAGUAGAUCAUGAAAAUAAUGCUUUAUGUGCUGGUUAUAUGGUUGAAUUAAUUCAUGAUGCUACUGAAAAUUUUUAUGAGAGAGGAUCAUAUGCUUCUAGAUAUUGCAAUAAUAUCGAGUUUCCUCUCUAUGUGUUGAAAAUCUUCAAGAUUUGCUUGUUUUACCUUCCUAUGCUAGUUGUUUAA
rnacentral:rRNA from 1 species